rnacentral:rRNA from 1 species
UAGGGAAUCUUCCGCAAUGGGCGAAAGCCUGACGGAGCAACGCCGCGUGAGUGAUGAAGGUCUUCGGAUCGUAAAACUCUGUUAUUAGGGAAGAACAAAUGUGUAAGUAACUAUGCACGUCUUGACGGUACCUAAUCAGAAAGCCACGGCUAACUACGUGCCAGCAGCCGCGGUAAUAUGUAGGUGGCAAGCGUUAUCCGGAAUUAUUGGGCGUAAAGCGCGCGUAGGCGGUUUUUUAAGUCUGAUGUGAAAGCCCACGGCUCAACCGUGGAGGGUCAUUGGAAACUGGAAAACUUGAGUGCAGAAGAGGAAAGUGGAAUUCCAUGUGUAGCAGUGAAAUGCGCAGAGAUAUGGAGGAACACCAGUGGCGAAGGCGACUUUCUGGUCUGUAACUGACGCUGAUGUGCGAAAGCGUGGGGAUCAAACAGG